AUGGCGAAGCUGUACGUGCAGGCGGUGCCCCCGCCGGAUCUGAACAAGAACACCGACUGGUUCAUGUACCCGGGGGUCUAGACCACCUACAUCUUCAUCCUCUUCGUCUCCUGGCUCCUCAUCCUCUCCAUCUUUGGCUGCACCCCCGGCAUGGCCUGGACGCUCGUCAACCUCGGCCACUUCGCGGUACCCGGCUCUCCCCCUCCCCUCCCUCCAUUCCUUACACGUCCUUGA
rnacentral:rRNA from 1 species